rnacentral:rRNA from 1 species
GACGAACGCUGGCGGCGCGCCUAACACAUGCAAGUCGAACGGAGCUUAGAGAGCUUGCUUUUUAAGCUUAGUGGCGAACGGGUGAGUAACGCGUGAGUAACCUGCCCUAGAGUGGGGGACAACAGUUGGAAACGACUGCUAAUACCACAUAAGCCCACGGUACCGCAUGGUACUGAGGGAAAAGGAUUUAUUCGCUUUAGGAUGGACUCGCGUCCAAUUAGCUAGUUGGUGAGGUAACGGCCCACCAAGGCGACGAUUGGUAGCCGGACUGAGAGGUUGAACGGCCACAUUGGGACUGAGACACGGCCCAGACUCCUACGGGAGGCAGCAGUGGGGGAUAUUGCACAAUGGGGGAAACCCUGAUGCAGCGACGCCGCGUGGAGGAAGAAGGUUUUCGGAUUGUAAACUCCUGU